rnacentral:rRNA from 1 species
UACGAAGGGAGCUAGCGUUGUUCGGAAUCACUGGGCGUAAAGCGCACGUAGGCGGAUGUGUCAGUCAGGGGUGAAAUCCCGGAGCUCAACUUCGGAACUGCCCUUGAUACAGCACGUCUUGAGUCCGGAAGAGGUGGGUGGAAUUCCUAGUGUAGAGGUGAAAUUCGUAGAUAUCAUUUGGAACGCCAAUGGUGAAAACAGGUAGCUGGGGCUGUGCUGACACUGAGACACGAAAGCCAGGGGAGCGAACGGG